UACGUAGGGGGCAAGCGUUGUCCGGAUUUAUUGGGCGUAAAGAGCGUGUAGGCGGCUUUGCAAGUCCGUUGUGAAAACUCGAGGCUCAACCUCGAGACGCCGGUGGAAACUGCAAAGCUAGAGUCCGGAAGAGGAGAGUGGAAUUCCUGGUGUAGCGGUGAAAUGCGCAGAUAUCAGGAAGAACACCCGUGGCGAAGGCGGCUCACUGGCCCGAUACUGACGCUGAGGCACGAAAGCGUGGGGAGCAAACAGG
rnacentral:rRNA from 1 species